UACGUAGGGGGCAAGCGUUAUCCGGAUUCACUGGGUGUAAAGGGAGCGUAGACGGCCAUGCAAGCCUGGAGUGAAAGCCCGGGGCCCAACCCCGGGACUGCUCUGGAACUGUGCGGCUGGAGUGCGGGAGGGGCAGGCGGAAUUCCUGGUGUAGCGGUGAAAUGCGUAGAUAUCAGGAGGAACACCGGCGGCGAAGGCGGCCUGCUGGACCGCGACUGACGUUGAGGCUCGAAAGCGUGGGGAGCGAACAGG
rnacentral:rRNA from 1 species